CGUAUUCCAGUAGGAGGUGUCCCUGCCCAGGGUAGCGGCCUGGAACUCGGUGAUCUUUAAGGUCCCUUCCAACUCCAACCUUUCUAUGAUUUUAUGAUACAGCAAAAUCUGCCUAACCACGUUGUUUUGUGAGAAACUCGAUGCUGACAGGAGUCAGUGCGAAGUCUCUGCAUUUGAACCUGUAGUAAAAGAGCUUUAUCCCUCUGUGCUUUCAGGUGUUUCUGCACCUCUUUGGGGAGUCUCGUAUCAUGAGAGAAACUUUUCCUGAGUAUUUUUAUACAAAGACCACGUAAGAACCAGGAAGUAUUCGCCGGUAAGACCCAAGUGUUCCAAAUUUGUAUUUUAAUUUUGUGGCUUUCCACAGCACUAGCCAUGAGAAACGCACAUGUCAGUUUUGAUUAAUUUCAUUUCUCAAGCUUACAUUUUACCUUAAUUCACUACAAGCACAAUAUAUUAUAAAUUAAAAAAAAAAAACCAAACCAACAAACCACCACCAACAACAAAAAAACCAAACCGCCAAAAACCCAAACAGAAGAACACUUCAUUAUGUGCUGAAGAUAGUAUCAAUCCACAACUUUUGUAAGCAAGUACCACCAGUUUCUUGAAAUCCUUGAAAAUAAUUCACAACAUACUCUUGAGAGAUCCCUGCCGUUAGCAGACAAGACUUCUGCAAAUUUAAUGGCUUAUUGUCUAAUCCACUAUUUGUGUGUGUUUGUGUACACAGACCUGUUUCUUUCAAAGUGAAACUACCCGAGUUUCAUGUGGUGUCAGGUUUCCAUAGGAAAUGUUUACACGGUUCUGUGCAGAAGGUCACUGUCCAAAGCCACCAAGAGCAGGAGGAGAAACAUGUAACUGUGUGUCAGAUUGGAAUGCACGAAUGGACCUGGAGAAACUGCAGGAGCUGAUGCAUCCUUCUCCCUUCACACAGGAUCAUUAACAUGUUUUUGCUGGUAAGGAUGUGUCUUUUUGGGACAAAAGCUGUCUGUGGGGCAGGUGUUGCCAUCCUGUAGCCACCGGGCCUCUGACAUCACAAAAAAGAAGCCUUCUCUUUCCGGAGAGCAGCACCUGCCCUAAGUCAAACCAGAUUCAUCCCUUCAGUAUGUAACAGCACACAUGUCCCAGCAGGAAAUGAAUUUCCCAAACUGAGACCAUUUCCUAGCAGCCAAACAAAGACUAAAUAUGGAAUUUCAUAUAUUUUCAUAUUUUUUCAAGGGGGGGGGGGGAGGACAAGGUUGACUGAGCAAGUGGA
rnacentral:lncRNA from 1 species